rnacentral:rRNA from 1 species
UACGUAGGGUGCAAGCGUUGUCCGGAAUUAUUGGGCGUAAAGAGCUCGUAGGCGGUCUGUCGCGUCGGCUGUGAAAACCCGGGGCUCAACUCCGGGCCUGCAGUCGAUACGGGCAAACUGGAGUGUUGCAGGGGAGACUGGAAUUCCUGGUGUAGCGGUGAAAUGCGCAGAUAUCAGGAGGAACACCGGUGGCGAAGGCGGGUCUCUGGGCAACAACUGACGCUGAGGAGCGAAAGCGUGGGGAGCGAACAGG